rnacentral:rRNA from 1 species
UACGUAGGGUGCAAGCGUUAAUCGGAAUUACUGGGCGUAAAGCGUGCGCAGGCGGUUCUAUAAGACAGAUGUGAAAUCCCCGGGCUCAACCUGGGAACUGCAUUUGUGACUGUAGAGCUGGAGUGCGGCAGAGAGGGAUGGAAUUCCGCGUGUAGCAGUGAAAUGCGUAGAUAUGCGGAGGAACACCGAUGGCGAAGGCAAUCCCCUGGGCCUGCACUGACGCUCAUGCACGAAAGCGUGGGGAGCAAACAGG